rnacentral:rRNA from 1 species
GAUGAACGCUGGCGGCGUGCCUAAUACAUGCAAGUCGAGCGAACAGAUGAGGAGCUUGCUCCUCUGACGUUAGCGGCGGACGGGUGAGUAACACGUGGAUAACCUACCUAUAAGACUGGGAUAACUUCGGGAAACCGGAGCUAAUACCGGAUAAUAUAUUGAACCGCAUGGUUCAAUAGUGAAAGACGGUUUUGCUGUCACUUAUAGAUGGAUCCGCGCCGCAUUAGCUAGUUGGUAAGGUAACGGCUUACCAAGGCGACGAUGCGUAGCCGACCUGAGAGGGUGAUCGGCCACACUGGAACUGAGACACGGUCCAGACUCCUACGGGAGGCACCAGUAGGGAAUCUUCCGCAAUGGGCGAAAGCCUGACGGAGCAACGCCGCGUGAGUGAUGAAGGUCUUCGGAUCGUAAAACUCUGUUAUUAGGGAAGAACAAAUGUGUAAGUAACUAUGCACGUCUUGACGGUACCUAAUCAGAAAGCCACGGCUAACUACGUG